UACAGAGGGGGCAAGCGUUGUUCGGAAUUACUGGGCGUAAAGGGCGCGUAGGCGGCCUUCUAAGUCGAACGUGAAAUCCCCGGGCUCAACCCGGGAACUGCGUCCGAUACUGGAAGGCUUGAAUCCGGGAGAGGGAUGCGGAAUUCCAGGUGUAGCGGUGAAAUGCGUAGAUAUCGGGAGGAACACCGGUGGCGAAGGCGGUUCUCUGGGCCUUACCUGACGCUGAGGAGCGAAAGCGUGGGGAGCGAACAGG
rnacentral:rRNA from 1 species